AGAACAAACGCUGGCGGCGUGUCUUAAGCAUGCAAGUUGAGCGGCAAGGAGGAGAGAUCCUCCCUAGAGCAGCGGACUGGUGAGUAACGCGUGGGUAAUCUAUCUUAGGCAUGGGGAUAGUCACUAGAAAUAGUGGGUAAUACCGAAUAAGUUCCAUAAGGGGAGGACUUAUGGAAGAAAGGUGCUACGGCACUGGCCUUAGGUGAGCUCGCGUCCCAUUAGCUAGUUGGUGAGGUAAGGGCCCACCAAGGCGAUGAUGGGUAGCCGGCCUGAGAGGGUGUACGGCCACACUGGGACUGAGAUACGGCCCAGACUCCUACGGGAGGCAGCAGCUAAGAAUAUUCCGCAAUGGACGGAAGUCUGACGGAGCGACGCCGCGUGGAUGAAGAAGGCCGAAAGGUUGUAAAGUUCCUUUGCUAGGGGAGAAUAAGUGUGGGAGGGAAUGCCUGCACGAUGACAAGGACUAGCGAAUAAGUCCCGGCCAACUACGUG
rnacentral:rRNA from 1 species